AGUGAACGCUGGCGGCGUGCUUAACACAUGCAAGUCGAACGAGAACGGAUUAUAGCUUGCUAUAAUUGUCAGCUAAGUGGCGCACGGGUGAGUAAUAUAUAGUUAACCUGCCCUCAAGAAAGGAAUAACAGUUGGAAACGACUGCUAAUGCCCUAUAUGCCUUUAAUACAUAAGUAUGCAAGGGAAACGCUUUAGUGCUUGAGGAUGGGACUGUAUGGUAUCAGUUAGUUGGUGAGGUAAUGGCUCAUCAAGACAAUGACGCCUAACUGGUUUGAGAGGAUGAUCAGUCACACUGGAACUGAGACACGGUCCAGACUCCUACGGGUGGCUG
rnacentral:rRNA from 1 species